rnacentral:tRNA from 1 species
GGGGGUGUGGCUCUGUUGGGAGAGCACUUGUUUAAUAUGCAGGAAGUUCUGGAUUUAUCUCCACCACCCCCC